UACGAAGGGGGCUAGCGUUGCUCGGAAUCACUGGGCGUAAAGCGCACGUAGGCGGCUUUUUAAGUCCGGGGUGAAAUCCUGGAGCUCAACUCCAGAACUGCCUUUGAUACUGAGAAGCUUGAGUCCGGGAGAGGUGAGUGGAACUGCGAGUGUAGAGGUGAAAUUCGUAGAUAUUCGCAAGAACACCAGUGGCGAAGGCGGCUCACUGGCCCGGUACUGACGCUGAGAUGCGAAAGCGUGGGGAGCAAACAGG
rnacentral:rRNA from 1 species